CCCUGUGAGCCCUGAGUUCACGCCUCAGUGGCAGGCACACACAAAAAGUUGUAGGUGGUCCUUAUGUUUAAUUGCUAGGAUUCAGUGUACAGUAGACUAAAGCCUGGCAUUUGGUCUUCAAUAACAAUUGAAUAUCCAGUAGCUAAGCUAUUGGGUAUCCUCUCUUAGGGCCAUUUUUUUCUGUAUACUGUGUUUGUUUUUUCCCCCCAAGUGAGGAGAACUCUGAUGGGGAGGGGAGUAUCCAAGGCUUUAACUCAAGUCCACCGAUAUAUGCCAAUAUCCACCUGUCUCUGUAAGUACAUGUGCUGGUCUUUAUGACCUGUUUUAAUUUUGUGGGGCAGUAUACUGUGAAGGCCUUGGGGGAGUGGCAUAUUGUGCCAAGUUUAGUCAGGCACUUCUUGAAGUCUGAAAGUUCAUCCCUUUCAUGAACUCAGUUUUAUUAACCAGGCUAUCUAUAAAAUGGGGAAAGUAACUUCCUUUUGGGGUUAUGGUGAUGAUAUUAUCGAGACAGGCAAAAAUAACAUGUACUAUUUGGAAUGUGCAUUCUUGGUGGAGAAUAGCCCUUACUACACUUUUUCAAAUUGUUUUUUUCAGGAGUAGAAUGUUUAUUUGGAUUUUAAAUUUCUAUCUUUUUUAAUUUAAAGUUCACAUAGCAGAGUAUUUUGUAUUGUUCCCCCCUUUGGUCAUGCCCCUAAGUAGAUUGCAUUCAAGAAGGGCUGGUAAUUGAAAGGAUAGUAUUUGGAACAUAUUUAUUUGGGACAAUUAUUUGCAUAAUUCUUAGAUU